rnacentral:rRNA from 1 species
ACAGUCACACGUAGUUUGAUCCUGGCUCAGAUUGAACGCUGGCGGUAGGCCUAACACAUGCAAGUCGAACGCGAAAGUCCUUCGGGGGCGAGUAGAGUGGCGGACGGGUGAGUAACGCGUGGGAAUCUACCCUAGAGCGGGGGACACCCGGGGAAACCCGGGCUAAUACCGCAUACGUCCUACGGGAGAAAGAGGGCCUCUGCUUGCACGCUCUCACUCCAGGAUGAGCCCACGUCCGAUUAGCUAGUUGGUAGGGUAAAGGCCUACCAAGGCCACGAUCGGUAGCUGGUCUGAGAGGAUGAUCAGCCACACUGGGACUGAGACACGGCUCAGACUCCUACGGGAGGCAGCAGUGGGGAAUAUUGGACAAUGGGCGCAAGCCUGAUCCAGCAAUGCCGCGUGUGUGAAGAAGGCCUUCGGGUUGUAAAGCACUUUUGUUGGGGAAGAAACCGGCCGGGUUAAUACCCUGGUUGAAUGACGGUACCCAAAGAAUAAGCACCGGCUAACUUCGUG